rnacentral:lncRNA from 1 species
GGGCGUGUCAUAAAGCCCUAUGAUCAUCUCAGUUGUGGCCACCUGCCCUCUAUGGAUGGACUGCAAUCUGGCAUCCAUCAGAGACAUGUACAUGUCUCUCAUCUGGAAAGGCUUUGCAUCAUGAGCUGGUGCAUGUCCUUGUGGUGGUAUUCUUCUCCUAGGGUGUCUUUGAGGCAUUGGCUGGGCCGCCUCAUCUCCUUCAUAGGACAACCUAUAGUAGGCCUCAUCAAUGGCUUUCCUCG